CAGUAGCCACGGUAAUACGAAGGGGGCUAGCGUUGCUCGGAAUGACUGGGCGUAAAGGGCGCGUAGGCGGUUCGUACAGUCGGAUGUGAAAUUCCUGGGCUUAACCUGGGGACUGCAUUCGAUACGUGCGGGCUUGAGUGUGGAAGAGGGUUGUGGAAUUCCCAGUGUAGAGGUGAAAUUCGUAGAUAUUGGGAAGAACACCGGUGGCGAAGGCGACUACCUGGUCUGGCAUUGACGCUCAUGUGCGAAAGCAUGGGGAGCAAACAGGAUUAGAUACACCGGUAGUCCCUGUCUCUUAUAC
rnacentral:rRNA from 1 species